UACGUAGGGCGCAAGCGUUGUCCGGAAUUAUUGGGCGUAAAGAGCUCGUAGGCGGUUAGUCGCGUCUGCUGUGAAAACUCGGGGCUUAACUCCGGGCCUGCAGUGGGUACGGGCUGACUAGAGUGCGGUAGGGGAGACUGGAACUCCUGGUGUAGCGGUGAAAUGCGCAGAUAUCAGGAGGAACACCGGUGGCGAAGGCGGGUCUCUGGGCCGUAACUGACGCUGAGGAGCGAAAGCGUGGGGAGCGAACAGG
rnacentral:rRNA from 1 species